UAAUAUAGCCUCCUGUGUGUUUAUUUGGGACUGAUACAGCUCUAGAACCAGGCUGGCGGAACGGCUCCUUCUCAAGGAAAAAGCUUCUCGUAACAAAUAGUGUAGAUGAAAUUGGAAAAACUUUAAUAACUUAGAAAACCUAGCACAGAAUGAGACAGAAAAUCUAAAUGGCCUUGAAUUUAUUAAAAACAUUCAAAAACCUCACAAAGAAAACUCAAAGCUCAAGUUAUUUCUCUGGUGAGUCUAUCAAAUUAUUAAAAAGAUAACUUUUUAAAAAAGAAUGGAAAAAAUUUUCCAUUGCAUUAUAUGAAGCCAGCAAAUAAUAGUGGUGACUAUUAUUUGUGAUAAGUAGUCCUUACUAACGGAAGGUCAACCCCUAGGAAACUUUCCUGAAGAUUCUAAAUUAAACACCAGUGCUCCUGCCAGGUGGUGGCGACAUACGCCUCUAAUCCCAGCACUCGGGAGGCAGAGGCAGGCGGAUCUCUGUGAGUUCGAGGCCAGACUGGUCUACAGAGUGAGUUCUAGGACAGCCUCCAAAACAAUAAAGAGAAACUCUGCCUUGAAAAAACAAAACAAAACAAAACAAAUAAACAAAAAGACUAGUGUUCCUGCCUUGAAGGCUUCAGUCAUGUCACAGAGUUCCUGCUAUAACACAGGGGCUGCCUUUGUGUGGACACUACACACUUUCUUUUUUCUUUUUAUUUUUUCCACAUUUUCUUUCUUUUUCUUAUUUUCACCAUCACCUUUAUUAUUGAAAAACAAACCAAAAUAUAAUCAGUCUAUUUAGGUUUUAGCCAAGAAAUACACAAAAUGUAAAGCUGACAGUCAGUGCUUCAUCAAGAGGGUAUUUUUUGGUUUUGUUUGUUUUCUGCAGGGGUUUGUGAGACAGAAUCUCAUGUAGCCUACAACAGCCUAAAAUUUGCUAUGUAGCUGAAGAUGGUAUUCAGCUCUGAUCCUCCUUCCUCUACCUCCCAAAUGCUAGGUUACAAAUAUGCCACCAUGCCCAGCCUAUAUUUUCAACACUGUUUAACUUAUACAUUCUAAUUAAGGGGACUUGAUGGCCUCAGGCUAGUUCUCACUGGUCCAUGUGCUAAAUAUCAUACAACCAAGCACAUACACGAAAAUAAUAAAAUAAUGCAUAAUCAAGGAAAUGCCUAAUUCUCACGGGCAUACUAUAGAUCAAGUAACAGAGACAGCCACAAUUCAUUAUGCCUAAUGGAGAACCAAAAAAGUUGAUCAAAAAAGGGAGGAAGGAAGGAAGGAAGGAAGGAAAAAGCUAAGCCCUGGGAUGCAGGGAAGGUGCAUUCAGAAGCCUCACAGACCAGAUGGCUGUGCCCAGGUGAAGCAGAUGUCAAGCAACCAAAAUGGACAAGACCAAACCCAAGCUGGAGAUGCACUAACUGUUCAAGAGGUCUCUGGUCUUUGUGCUUGUCCUGGAUGCUGCCAGAACAGAGACUGGUGGUCAAUCAGUCAGUACCGGAUCCUUGGGGAUGCUGGAUCAGCGACAUCCAAGAGAGGCAUGGGCCUGAACAAAAUUAAACAAGUCAACACAAAUUCCCAACCUUCACCAUGCAUUCAACUGUGUGCCAGGGCAAGUAUCUGUUCUUAACUGUACUGGCCUCCCUGUCUGAAAUCCAGCCUCCCUUGCCCUGACAGAGAACAACCACAACCACAACAACAACAACAACAAAAAUAUGGACAUUGGUUCUGGGUUUGAUCUGAGAAAGUGACAGUCAAGAUUGGUUUGAAACCAUUUCCGGAGCGGCCUGGCUGUUUUCAGCCUGCUGGCUGUGUAACUUCGUUGAUCUAUACAUAUGCCCAGAGGAGUUAACAAUGGGAACAAUUUUAAAGUCUAAAAAUAAAAGUCAGCAAACAAACAAUGGGGAUUGUCAAGUAACUCGCCCACAAUUGCAUUUUUCUCCGAAUUCCCAUCAUUUGUUGCCGGCACCGAGGACAAACAUCAGAGAUGUGGUCAGAUUCCCCUGCCCACCAGCUGGCCCGAUGGGGUCUAUGUGCACACUGUUACUCAACCAACCUCCAAAAGCCACCUGCACGGCACAGGUUGAGUUUGACUUGUUCAAGGCUUGGAUAUGCUAGAUGGUUCCUGUGUGGACAAAGCCCCAAAUCUUUCCUGUAAGAGGGUGUCCAAACCACCCAACACUGUAAUACAGGAACUGUAUUGAAACCACUUGGAAACCUGAGACACUGUCCUUCUAAUGUUACUCCCUGUUCCAGCAAUGGGCCCGCUUAGCCCAUCUCUUGCCGGGAGAUGUUGUUAAUGGCUUUCCUGCACUGGAGGGUAGAGCCCUAUUGCGAUUUCUGUCAUCAUUGGGGAGUCCCUUAGCUGGGAGCCCUUGAGGUCAAGUCUUGGCUUCCAGUUCUGCAUAGUGUCUUGCUUAGGUCUCAGGAGAUCUGGAUACAUUUCAGCUCGGACUAGAAAGACGGAAAAGGAGAUUAAAAAGAAAAGGAAGAAGGGGGAGGAUUGAUGUUGGUCAAAAGAAGAAAGUCACUAUAGUCCCAUGACUUUGGUUCUUGUGCCAGUUGUGUUGUCUCUGGGUGACUGUUCAUCCUGAGCACUCACAAAGUCACUUGAAUAAAGAAACUCCAUGAAUAAAGAACACAGGCCAGCAUUUUCAAAAGGGCACUGGUAAAGAAAAGCAAAACUGAAACAGCUAAGGGAAAAUGUAUGUAAUACACAAAAGCUGGAGUUCCAGAAGACAGGCACUUUUGAGACAGGGUCUUACUAUGUCACUCUGGUUGACCUUGAACUCUCAGAGAUCUGGCUGCUUCUGUUUCCUGAGUAGUGGAAUCAAAGGGGUGCCCCACGUUUCCCCAAUCCUCAGGCAGAUUCUGGAUUCCCAUUGGAGUUAUUCCCUUCACACACAGUAUAUUGCGGUUCCACCAGCAUGGGAGACGCUUGUGUGUGAUGGUGUCAUCAGAGCUGGCGGAAGCUAUCCAACUGUCUGUCUCAGUUAUGGGUUCUGUGGCUGUGAAGAGACACUAUGACCACAGAAACUCUUAUAAAGGAAAAUAGAGGUUUAGUUCAUUGUCAUCAUGGUGGGACAUGGUGGUCUGCAGGCAGACAUGGUCUGCUUGGUUUCUACUUCUGCUAACUCAAGUGAGAUUUAUCCUUCUCAGAUUUGAUGGUGUUUGACAACUAGGCUAGCGAUACUUUGCCACUUUAACAACUCCUUCAUCCCCAAAGACUACAACCACCUUGGUAGCUCAUUAGUUAAAUUUCUUGUGAAAAAUACAGACAGGUUUGCCUCACUCACAGGCCUCAUAGUAAAGGUUAAACAGAUUUUAUUUGCCACUAAAUAAACACAGAAAAUGAUUUAA